rnacentral:rRNA from 1 species
UCCGUAGGCGGGCAGCUAAGUCAGUGGUGAAAGUCUGCAGCUCAACUGUAGAAUUGCCAUUGAUACUGGUUGUCUUGAAUUAUUAUGAAGUGGUUAGAAUAUGUAGUGUAGCGGUGAAAUGCAUAGAUAUUACAUAGAAUACCAAUUGCGAAGGCAGAUCACUAAUAAUAUAUUGACGCUGAUGGACGAAAGCGUGGGUAGCGAACAGGAUUAGAUACCCUGGUAGUCC